rnacentral:rRNA from 1 species
UGGGGAAUUUUGGACAAUGGGCGCAAGCCUUAUCCAGCCAUGCCGCGUGCAGGAUGAAGGCCCUCGGGUUGUAAACUGCUUUUGUACGGAACGAAAAGCCUCUUUCUAAUAAAGAGGGGUGAUGACGGUACCGUAAGAAUAAGCACCGGCUAACUACGUGCCAGCAGCCGCGGUAAUACGUAGGGUGCAAGCGUGAAUCGGAAUUACUGGGCGUAAAGCGUGCGCAGGCGGUCUUGCAAGACAGUGGUGAAAUCCCCGGGCUCAACCUGGGAACUGCCAUUGUGACUGCAAGGCUGGAGUACGGCAGAGGGGGAUGGAAUUCCGCGUGUAGCAGUGAAAUGCGUAGAUAUGCGGAGGAACACCGAUGGCGAAGGCAGUCCCCUGAGCCUGUACUGACGCUCAUGCACGAAAGCGUGGGGAGCAAACA